UACGUAGGGUGCGAGCGUUGUCCGGAAUUAUUGGGCGUAAAGAGCUUGUAGGUGGUUUGUCGCGUCUGCUGUGAAAAUCCGAGGCUCAACCUCGGACUUGCAGUGGGUACGGGCAGACUAGAGUGUGGUAGGGGAGACUGGAAUUCCUGGUGUAGCGGUGAAAUGCGUAGAGAUCAGCAGGAAUACCCGUGGCGAAGGCGGCCCCCUGG
rnacentral:rRNA from 1 species